rnacentral:rRNA from 1 species
CCUANGGGGGGCAGCAGUGGGGAAUCUUGCGCAAUGGGCGAAAGCCUGACGCAGCGACGCCGCGUGGGGGAAGAAGGCCUUAGGGUUGUAAACCUCUUUCAGGUGGGACGAAGCCACUCGGGUUAAUAGCCCAGAGGGUGACGGUACCACCAGAAGAAGCCCCGGCUAACUACGUGCCAGCAGCCGCGGUAAUACGUAGGGGGCAAGCGUUGUCCGGAUUUAUUGGGCGUAAAGAGCGUGUAGGCGGCCAGGUAGGUGGGUUGUGAAAACUGGAGGCUCAACCUUCAGACGUCGACCCAAACCCCCUGGCUAGAGUCCGGAAGAGGAGAGUGGAAUUCCUGGUGUAGCGGUGAAAUGCGCAGAUAUCAGGAAGAACACCCGUGGCGAAGGCGGCUCUCUGGGACGGUACUGACGCUGAGACGCGAAAGCGUGGGGAGCGAACAGGAUUAGAUACCCCUNUANUC